ensembl:snRNA U1 U1 spliceosomal RNA
AUACGUACCUGGCAGGGGAGGCACCAUGAUCAGGAAGGUGGUUUUCUCUGGGCAAGGCUUAUCCAUUGCACUCCGGUUGUGCUGACCCCUGCAAUUUCCCCAAAUGUGGGAAACUUGAUGGCAAAAUUUGUGGUAGUGGGGGACCUCACUUGCACUCUCCCU